rnacentral:siRNA from 1 species
UCAGCAAUACAAUUUCACUCC